AUAAAUACAAAAGUCAUGCAUCAAACAGCUCCAAAGUGUAAUGUGAAACCAUGUUCGAACAACGAUGUUCCACCUUCGUCAGUAGUUCGCGCUUGUCUUGGUCCAUCUUUGGCACAGGUGUUUUUCAAUUAUACUCAUCAUGAUACGAUAAAGUUGUUGGAUGUAUUGACACCAUCAAAAACAUCAAAAGCAUGCUUUCCAAUUCCAUCUGACCAUCAUUUACCCAAAACCAAAUUCAUGCCGUCAACAGAUUAUCAAAUCGUAAAAGCAUUCGUGCACCAAAAUAUAUUAGAAAUUGGUGAAGCUCUCUUAGGACGCGUGAAAAAGGAAAUUGAAGAAAAUCUAAAGGACAAAAUAGAGAGGCAAUCGCGAGAGAAGUUUUAUAUGUAUCAAGCGAAAAAAAGACAAGAAGCUGAGCUGCACGUUCAACAGUUGCAUGAAAAAUACGAAAAUUAUAUUGAAACUGUCCGACGUGAAUUACAAAAACAACUUGAAGGAGAAUGGUCUAAAGCAGCCGCAGAAUGUGCUAAGAACAUUAAAAAAGCAGUUGUACAAGAACGAAUAAACGUGACUAACGAAGUGACGCGAAAAAUGCACGCGGAAAUGACUCACGUUGUCCUAUCGUUGUACAAAGAAUUUGAAAAGCUGUUUUGCGCCAAAAGGGACAAUAUAAUUGCCGAUUUUAAUCAGAUAAUGAGGGCGCAGCAUGUAAAAUUGAAAAAAGAAAUGCUGGACUUUAAAGAGAAGAUGAGCAGAGAUUUACAUAUUCAGAGACAUCAGUUUGAAAUACAAAAUGCCGCAGAUUUAAUUUAUAUCCUCUGUGUGGAACGAUUACGAAGUAAUAAAGAGAAACAUAUAAUGCAUGAAUACUUUCAGCGUUAACAAAACUCGGGGCGUCUUCAUACAGAACAGUUCUUACUUGCGGAUCAAUGGGUUUCGUUAUGUUCAUAUUGAUAGAACCAUCAGGUUCGAGAGGUUUCCAAUUUGGUAAAUAGUCCAUGAAAAUCGAUUGAUCAUCGUGAUCGCCGCAAAUAUAUGUAAAAUUUAAUUUUGAAGACAAUAGUAAAAAUUGAGCGGCUAAUAGUAAUUUUUACUCUUUACAACGUGAAUAUUUAUUUAAACAAUUAAAAAGAAUAUACAAUUAAUUUUGCGCGAUAAUUAAAUUCGGGAGAUUGAAGAUUACUGUAAACACAAGAUACAAAUAAGAUAUACGUACAAAUUCAUUAAACACUGGAUAUCACAUGAACACAUACUAAUAAUAAUAAAUAAUGUAAAAUGCUUAUUCAUUCGGUACAUUCGUAUUUUAUACAUACAACGUGUAUAUGUAUAAUAUAUUUACGUGAAUAGAUUAAUGUACCUAUUAAAUUGUAUUGUAAAUUUUUUUCUUGUCAAAAAUCAUAUCUUCGCACCAUAAAAAUAAUUUAAAUACCUUUUU